GACGAACGCUGGCGGCGUGCUUAACACAUGCAAGUCGAACGGAAAGGCCCUGCUUUUGUGGGGUGCUCGAGUGGCGAACGGGUGAGUAACACGCGAGUAACCUGCCCUUGACUUUGGGAUAACUUCAGGAAACUGGGGCUAAUACCGGAUAGGAGCUCCUGCUGCAUGGUGGGGGUUGGAAAGUUUCGGCGGUUGGGGAUGGACUCGCGGCUUAUCAGCUUGUUGGUGGGGUAGUGGCUUACCAAGGCUUUGACGGGUAGCCGGCCUGAGAGGGUGACCGGCCACAUUGGGACUGAGAUACGGCCCAGACUCAUACGGGAGGAAGCAGUGGGGAAUAUUGCACAAUGGGCGGAAGCAGGAUGCAGCAACGCCGCGUGCGGGAUGACGGCCUUCGGGUUGUAAACAGCUUUCGCCUGUGACGAAGCGUGAGUGACGGUAAUGGGUAAAGAAGCACCGGCUAACUACGU
rnacentral:rRNA from 1 species